rnacentral:rRNA from 1 species
AUGAACGCUGGCGGCGUGCUUAACACCUGCAAGUCGAACGAUGAAGCCCAGCUUGCUGGGUGGAUUAGUGGCGAACGGGUGAGUAACACGUGAGUAACCUGCCCUUAACUCUGGGAUAAGCCUGGGAAACUGGGUCUAAUACCGGAUAGGAGCGUCCACCGCAUGGUGGGUGUUGGAAAGAUUUAUCGGUUUUGGAUGGACUCGCGGCCUAUCAGCUUGUUGGUGAGGUAAUGGCUCACCAAGGCGACGACGGGUAGCCGGCCUGAGAGGGUGACCGGCCACACUGGGACUGAGACACGGCCCAGACUCCUACGGGAGGCAGCAGUGGGGAAUAUUGCACAAUGGGCGAAAGCCUGAUGCAGCGACGCCGCGUGAGGGAUGACGGCCUUCGGGUUGUAAACCUCUUUCAGUAGGGAAGAAGCGAAAGUGACGGUACCUGCAGAAGAAGCACCGGCUAACUACGUG